rnacentral:tRNA from 1 species
GCCGCAGUAGUCUAGCCCGGUUCAGGAUGAGGGCCUGUCGAGCCCUUGACCCGGGUUCAAAUCCCGGCUGCGGCGCCA